UACGGGGGGGGCAAGCGUUGUUCGGAAUUACUGGGCGUAAAGGGCUCGUAGGCGGCCAACUAAGUCGGAUGUGAAAUCCCCAGGCUCAACCUGGGAACUGCAUCCGAUACUGGAUGGCUUGAAUUCGGGAGAGGGAUGCAGAAUUCCAGGUGUAGCGGUGAAAUGCGUAGAUAUCUGGAGGAAUACCGGUGGCGAAGGCGGCAUCCUGGACCGACAUUGACGCUGAGGAGCGAAAGCUAGGGGAGCAAACGGGG
rnacentral:rRNA from 1 species